AUACUUACCUGGCGUAGGGUUACCGUGAUUAUGCUAGCGGUUCGCCCAGGGUGAGGCUGAUCCAUUGCACCGCGGAGUGAUUGAUCUUUGCGAUUAUUUUCUUUUUAUAAGUUUCACUUCUACCGUGUGCGACUUGCAUACACACUUUUUUUUUCCUAGCUAAGCUAA